rnacentral:rRNA from 1 species
UACGGAGGGAGCUAGCGUUGUUCGGAAUUACUGGGCGUAAAGCGCACGUAGGCGGCUACUCAAGUCAGAGGUGAAAGCCCAGGGCUCAACCCUGGAACUGCCUUUGAAACUAGGUAGCUAGAAUCUUGGAGAGGUCAGUGGAUUCCGAGUGUAGAGGUGAAAUUCGUAGAUAUUCGGAAGAACACCAGUGGCGAAGGCGACUGACUGGACAAGUAUGACGCUGAGGUGCGAAGCGUGGGGAGCAACAGGAUUAGAUACC